AAUGUCCAAGGGUGCAACAUUCCAUCGGAGAAAGGGGUUUCCCUACCAACCUAACUUCCCUUGAUAUCUCUGACCCCAAUAUUAGUAAGGCAGUAAUGGAGUGGGGAUUGCAUAGACUCACCUCUCUUACAGAUCUCAAUAUUGAUGGUAGUAAUUGUACCGAUGCGGUGUCGUUUCCUCAGAUGGAGACAGGAAUGAAGCUGCCCCCUUCUCUCACUUAUCUUUCUAUCGAAAAUUUCAAAAAUGUAAGAAAGCUAUCCUCCAACGGCUUUCAAAACCUCACCUGUCUUCAAUCUUUGGUGAUCUACCAUUGCCCAAAGCUCAAAUCCAUUCCCCGAAAGGAAAUGCUUCCCUCGCUUUCGCAACUAGAAAUUUGGUACUGUCCAGUGCUAAAGAAAAGGUGCAAAAGGGAUAAAGGAAAACAAUGGUCCAACAUCGCCCACAUACCUAAAGUAAGAAUUGAUGGCAGAUUCAUCUACGAAUGAUGAAGAGGAAGAAUCAGAGCAUGUCAACUUAGGUAUUUUAAUCCUACAACUAAUUACUGUUUUAACUGAUUUUUUUUAUGUACAAAUAUAUCUACACAAACAUUGAAUUUUUUAGCAUUUAAUUGUGAAAAAUUUUAGCUUUUCUUUCCCCCAUAAAUAAAUCGAACAUGUAAUCUUGUGUUUCCUUGUUUAUUUGUUUUAGCAUAAAAAAUAGCAUUGAUAUGUUGCAAAGGAGAUAGUAAGGUAACUAAAUACUAAUCUGUUAACUUAUCCGAAUGGAGAUGGCAAGAAUUAUAUUCUGCAUCUAAAAUUUGAGUUCCAAAAAUAUUAAAAUGUGAUUCAAAUUCAUUUCAAGAGAAAUCGACAAGGUUGUGCAAUCCAUGGGAGAUUACUUCAAGUAAUAUGCUAACUCAUGAUCAGUGUAGGGAUCAGAUAGUUGAAACCUUCUCAUGUAAUUAGUUCCUCCUGAAUUGAUUUUGAGCAAUUCAAGUUUCAAGUUUAACCUCUAAUGGACUCUAACUUAGAAAACUAGCUAGGUCUUUCUUAAUGCUCCUUAUACAAAUGCUUUCUUGUGGAGAAUUCUGGUUUUUAAUGUGAAGGUUUUGGAACUUACAGAGUAUUGUUCCAUGGUUCAUAUGGAUUUCUUAAUCUGAUCUCACUUUCUUUAAGGAAAUUCAUUGCUUUCUUCAUUGUGAUUAAUUUGAUGCAGCUUGCCUACAACUUAUAUCUUGUUUCUUCAGUUUCAUAUUAUUUGGUUUGUUCUUGCAAUGAUCGUUUAUUUGAUUUUCUUUCUCACCUUCUCUGUAAUAUUAAAUUAGUUAUAAAAUUUCAACAUCCUGGAGAACAUUUAUUUUGUGCACGGUUGAGUCUGGAAAUUAUCUUCCUCUUUUGUAAAAGGGAAACAAUUUCCAACUUUUAAGACUCAUUUUCCAUUGACAAUCAAAUGACCAUCCUAAUUUCUACCAACCAAAUGUCCGAAGAAUGUAGAAGUCAAUUUCUGGAAACUAAUUUUUGUAAAACAAAUAGAAUCUUAGCUCAAUUCUGAAUUAAACCCACUAUUUUUAUGGCAGGUCCAGUAGACAUUAAGAAUAAGCUUCGUAGCUUUAGAGUAUGAGAAGGCUUGAAAUCCAUCUCUUUUCUUCUUAGUAAAGAGGAUUGCACCUUUCACUUCACUCUGCGCUUCCUUGGAACUACUACAGGUGAGAACAACUGCUAGAAUUUUUCUAAUUUCUAUCUCCUUUGUGCAUAUGCAUGAUAAGUGAAUUCAUUUCAUAUCAUCAAAUUAUGUUCAUUGGAUUUGAGCAGAAGCAAUAUAAUGACUGUAACCACUUCACAAGAUGUUCUACCAUUUUUUUUUUUUAUUAGUAAUGUUCUACCAAUUAAUGUUAUAUGUUUAUUGUUCUCUGCUUCCUUAUGCCAUGUAAGCAUCACAAGUAUUUCUAAAUCACGGUAUUAAGUUUUUUGCUACUCCACACUAACAACAUAAUGCUUUGGCCUUGUAUGGCAGGAUGAACAAAACUAAUGAUUUUGCAUCUAAUUGCAAUGCCCUCAGAAUCAAUGAUGGAAAGGUUUCCAAGCAGCAUGUGAGUGUAUCAUGUAGAAAGAAAACUAAGAUUUUGGGUUCAACUAUGAUUCUCAGUUGUAUGUGUGGGCACUAGUGGAUUUCUUGAUCCUUACUUCCCAAAAAUAUGAUAUCAUAGAUGGCAGUGAUGUUGAUUCAAGAACGUCCAAUUCCAAAGACUUGAUGGCUAGAGAGCUGCAUAAUGUAAGUAAUUGUUACUGAUUGCCAAAAGUGAUUUGAUGGAGGAAUGGGUGGCUAAGGGAAAAAUGGAUUAAAGAGAGAGCAUCUUAGUUUAAAUGAGCAACCAAGCAUAGUUUCCACAGACAGUUCACGUAUUGUUUCUUCUUAGCACAUUCAUGAUGAGCUAAUUUGAAUUCAUAAUGAAAUUAUUUAAUUGUUGCCUUCUAUGCUUAGACCUAUACAACCUUGGGAUGGAUAAAGGAUUAAAUAUAUGAAUGUCAAGAGUUUAAAAUGUCAUAGAGAAAGCAGCUCAACUUUCUUCCAUUUUCUUUUUCAUUGUUGAACUUUUAUGUUUCUGUUUUUCUACUUAAGGUUUUCUUUUACUGUCAAUAUCUGUCUCAGGUUUUAAUUAGUAUGCUUUGGUUUUACUUUCACAGUCAUUCUCCUUCUUGGUGGAAAAGAUGUGAAUUGAAGACUUAUGAUCCAAUGUUGCCAAGAAGAUAGUCAGGUAACUUAAUACUGAUAUGUUGACUUAUUAGAAUGGAUAUAGUAGGAGUUAUACUCUGCAUUUGAAAUUCAAGUUCCAAAAAGUUAAAUGUGAUUUCGAAUUCAUUUCAAGAGCAAUCUGUAAAGUUCCACCAGAAUUGAUCUUGACCUAUUCGAGUGUAAAGUUUAUCCUCUAACAGUUUCUAGCUUAUAAAACUAGUUGAAAGUUUAACUUAAAUUUUAAGAGCAAUUUGUAAAAUUCUCAUAUAAAGGCUUUCUUGUUGGAAAUUUUGGUUUUUAAUGUGAAUUUUUUGGAACUCACGGAGAGUUGUUCCAUGUGUCAUAUGGAUUACUUAUUCUGAUCUCACUCUUUUAAAGAAAAUUCAACGCUUUCUUUGUUGUGAUUAAUACAAUACAGCUUCCAUAUAACCUAUAGCUUGUUCCUUUGGUUUUAUAUUGUUUGUUUUGUUCUUGAAAUUAUCUUUCUCUGAUUUUCUAUCUCACCUUUCUACAAUAUGAAAAUCAGUUAUAAAAUUCCAAUUUUCUUCCCAGAGUGGAUUUCUGCACCGUGCAUGAGCCAUGCACUCUUUUUUAGCUACUAUUCAUAGAUGACGUUCCAUGGGUGGCGAUGAUUGUUUGGAUGCUAUCUUUUCUACAAGGGAGAAAUGAUGCUUCCCACCUUCUUUCACCUUACGAUGAGAGAAAUAAUGUUUGGAGUAGUUCUUACAAAAGGGCUUUCAAAAGAUCUGCAUACAGAGGUAUGGUGGCAGUUUUUACUUUUGAAGUAUAUUUAAAAAAAAAUAAUCUUUUUGCCCCGAAAAAAUUGAAAAUAACUUUUAGUGAAAACAAUGCUUCUGUCCCCAUUGAAAUUUAUCAAAAUUUGGAAUUUAGACCAUAUGAAUAAAAAUCUCUUAAUAGUAAUAAUGCAUAGUUAAGUGAACUUUUUCUUCACAAUGGAAAGCACUAUAUAUAUCACUGCUUCAUAUCACCUUUAACACUUGAAAUAAACCUAAACGAAUGUUUCAUAAAUUUAAAUUUUACAAUUAGCUAGAUAACUUUGCCCUCAUCAAGAUAAAAUUCUGCAUUUAUCCCUGUCCUGCCUUAAAAAUGGAGAAUACUUAAUUGCCAGUCAUUCAUCUCUUUUCAAAAGGAGUGCUUUAUGUUGAUAUUAAUGAUUCAUUUAUUAAUUAUGAAUAAAAAGAAGCAUGAAAGAUCUUAGAUAAUACUUCCUAUUUUCCUCCUAUUUACUGCACCAUGUCUAUUUAAAAUUCCUCUCAAUCAUUAUUAGCAGAAUUCUUUUUUACUUUCAAACAGUUAAUUAAAGUUUUAUAAUUACAAAGUGCUUCUCAUGUCAAACGUGCAGGAAUUUGAGUGCGAGUUACGUAAGAAAGAAUGAAAUUCAAACCUUUGGACGUAAUUCAUUGACAACAAUUAAUACUAAUGGUAAGUUUUCAAAAGUCAAUUUUUGAAUGCAUGCUUGAUAGAAUAAAGCCUUCCUCCUAAUUAUCAUGAAUGUAAUUUUCACAAUUCUCUGUUUCUUUAUCUUUAAUUCUAAGCUUAGAUACUUUGAUUACCAAUUUUCAAAUAAUUUGGUGGAGCGAUGAAGAUGAUCCCAAUGCAUUAUGAAUUUGGAAGCCAGGUAACUAUAUACUAAUUUUCAUGUUUCACAAAAUAUCAAGUAAAAUAGAAGCAUCAUAAUAAUGGUCUUGUAUUCAAUAUUCAAAUUCUAAAAUUCAACAUUUCAUUGAACUAAACACUAAGGUAGUCAUGCCAUGGAUUUUGAUAAAUCUGGAGUAUUGUGGCAACCUUGGUAUAUAUUAAGAAUAAGAUUUUGAGCAUUAGAGAAUCAGCAAGCCUGAAAUCCGUCUCUUUUCUUCUUAAUGCAAAGGCUGGUGCUUUGACUUGACUCUACACUUCCUUCCAAGUAAUACAGGUGAGAACAACUACUAAAAGUUUUAUGAAUUCUAUCUCCUUUGUGCCUAUUCAUAAUUAGUGCCUUCAUUUCAUAUCACCAAAUUAUGUUAUUUGGCUCUUCAGGAAGUCUUUGUUUCUGUCAUCAUUCAUUGGAUGUGAGCAGAAGCAGCAUAAUGACUGUAGCCACUCUACAAGAUGUUCUACCAAUUAAUGUUAGAUGUUUGUAGUUCCUUGCUUGCUUAUGCCAUGUAAGCAUCACAAGUAUAUGAGAAUUACUAUAUUAAGUUUUUUGCUACUCAACACUAACAACAGAAUACUUUGGCCUUUGUAUGACAGGGAUGAACAAAACUUAUGAUUUUGUAUCUCAUUCCAAUGCCCUCAAAAUCAACGUUGGAAAGGUAGAGUAAAGUAAUAACUGACUGCCAAAAGUGAUUUGAUGGAGAAUUGUGUGGCUAAGGGAAAAAUGGAUGAGAAAGUGACCACCUUAAUUUAAAUGAACAAUGAGGCAUAGUUAUGGUGUUUUAACGACUUGAUGUGCCUCCAGUCUCCACAGACAGUUCAUACUUGGUGAGAUUGUUUCUUCUUAGCAUGUUUUAUAAGGUGAUUAUUGAUGUUAGAAAUUUAGCUUUUUAUUGAUAACUUCACGUCAUAUCGUUUACUUGUACUAGAGAAGACUUUUGUAAUCCUAUUAUUUUGAGUAGUGGAAGAAUUUGAACGGACUAUGGUCCCAUGGUUUUUCCCCUUACCAUGGGGUUUUCCACGUAAAAUCUGGUGUCUCGCUCUUGUGGGCUGUUGAUUAUUUCAUUUUUUUACAUUAAUAACCAAUUAUGAAUUACUACUUCAAUUAUCAUACAAUGUAUUUAACUUUUAUAAAGAGGGAUAAAAAUUUGGAGUUCUGGUUGUCCGGUUGUAAUGGUAGACUGUAAGGACAAUGCUUAGUGCUACCUUUUUAUCUUGGUUCUACUGAUUAACCUUGAGGAGUGAUGUCAAAGGAAUAUAUUCAAUAUGGUGGGCGUGAAGUUCUAUGAAGAGAAUUGAACAAAUGCAUUUCCACCAUUAUAGAUUCUUCAAUGCCAAGAUAUGCCAGAGUUGGAGUGGAAUUCUUACCAAGUUGAUGAGCAAAACGGGAUCUUCACUUGCCUCCAUGAUCUUUCUGUCAAGAAAUGCCCCAAAGUAUUGAGAAGUCUACCAAGUUGUCUUCCUUGCUUGGAAAAACUUGUGAUUUAUGAUAAUUGGUAAUUUUAAUUCCAAACCCUUCAAGGCUAUGUGAAUUAGAAAUUGUUGGGUGCAAAGAAGUGUGACAUGAGAGUUCUCUUUAUCUUUGCUCAUUCAAAAAAAAAGUCUCUCGAACACCCCAAAGUUUACUUAUGAUGUUAGGCUUAAUAAAAAUUAAAUUUCUUCGAAUUGGUGGUUGUCGGAGAGCUUACUUAUUUGAUGCAGAACAUCGGGGGCUGGUUAGCUUCUGCAGGUUUAGGCUUCAGCAUGUCAAGAUAUGGAGUUGCUCCAAGUUGGCCUAUCUUUAAUCAAGUGGCCGCUUACUCGUGGGGCUUACACACCUGCGGAUUGACCUUUGCCAAAUGCUGGAAUCUUUUGCACAAUUAGUUCACAGUAACACUUCUUUUGAAUUCAUUUUCAUCGGUAGGUGUGGAAAGAUCGACUACCUACCUGAUCAUGACUGCUAUUGCUAUCUGGAAGAAUAGGUACCAUUGUUUCAUUUCCUUUAUUUGGCACAAGACUUUCCACUGCCAUUCCAACAAAACCUAUGCAUUAUUGCCUACUGCCAACAGUUUCCAUUGCAAAAUCUGUAAUCGUAUUGAUACAAGGGGUUGCCUCCAUGUGACAAUCAUUAAUUUAACAAUUUCACUGAAUGACAAAAUUAUGAUCACCACAUCAACUAAAUUCAAGGUUCAACAUAAGUCAAAAGAUGUAAAAUAUAAAUAGUAGUAAGAAAUGGUAUAUAAAAGUUACUUUAGUAAACAGAAAUUUCUUGACAACUUAAUCUUAAUUUGUAAAUAACCCGUGACAUGAUACAGCCUAGGUGCAUAUAAAUAACUCGUGACAUGGUACAAAAAUUUUUUGUUUUUUUAUUUCUGUUUGUCGAUCGAAAAUCAACCCAAUAUGAAAAUAAAAGACAAUAAGAUAAAAUAACUGAAAGCCCGUGACAAAAACUUGGACUUAUCCCAAAUACAAAGCUACAAAAAAAUUUGACUUAGAGUUGGAUGUCAUCUAUUGUGUCCCCCAUGUCCCAAUUCCCCACUCUUUCCCAAAAGUUACUAAGCCAACGCAACCAAAAAGCCUAGGUGCAGAGCUCAUGGGCCACUCCCAGCCUUGAAUUGGGCACAUCGAAAAGUACUCUAUGGUUCUGUUGCUGCGUAUUAACUAUCACAUUCAACACUGAAUUCACAUUCUUUGGUGCGGAUGCCAUGGCCAAGCACGUGAUGCUGCUUGCUGUGCUAUGGAUUAGUAGGUUAUCGCGUGGCAGUGUCAUGUUCAUGCCUGCAAGCAUGAACGUUAUCGUCGGUGCCACAAUAGGGACGGUGUAACAUGUGUUGAACUCACAGAGCAGCCGAGGGAUGUCCCGUUGGCCACCUUGACUCGCCUCUGGAACUUGUCUCGGAUGGCUCUAUAGGCCGGUGCUACUAUCCGUGUAAAGAUGGCACCUAAUGUUGAAUAGCAAAGUUUAGUGACUUUUCAAUGACAAGAUAAAAUACAUUAAGGGCAGAUUUUGAAAUGAAGCUCUUUGAGUUAACAUAAACUUUAACAUAUUAUCAAACUUUUUACAAAAAAAUGAAAUUUUUUAUUUUCAUUUAUUUAGAGAUAUUAAUAUAUAUUUGCUUUUGUAUAAUAUUUUGUAAAACAAUAUUAUUAAUACUAGACCACUAUGGUUAUUUUGAAAAUAUCCAACAUAGAAUUGCCUCAAUGUAGUCGUGACUAUCUCUAAAAAGUUGUCUUUAAAUUAUUUUAUUUAUUUACAAUUUUUAUUUUGAAAAGCAAGAUGUAUAGAUUUCUUCCAUAAAAGGAAAUGAAGGAGCAGAGGUAAACAAAAAAUACCACUUGGCUCCACUGGCGAAGGGUAGUUAAGUCCGUCCCCCAAGUUUUUUAAAAUAUUUUAUCCAUUAUAUAUAUUAUUUAAUCAAAGAUGGAAGAUGGUAUAUUUAUCGAGAUCGUGGUCCUCUAAAAAUUUUAAUAUUUUAAUUCCCUUUAAAAUAAUUUUUUAUUCAAUAAUUAAUAUAAAUAAAAAAUAAUAAAAUGACGUUAUAAAUCUUACUCAAUUUUAUUUCUCUACAUAUCUUUCUCUCUCCUCUUUCUCCCUCUUUCUUUUUAUUUUUUUUCUCUUUUGUUUUUUUAUUUAUAUAUUUUUAAAAAGCAAUCAAUGAAAUUUCAUUCUUUAAUGUAUGUAUACAAAAGCUACCUCAUUUUGGUAGUAUUACAACAAAAACAUAUAGGACAUGUCCCUAAUACGAGAUAAGUUACGUAUAAUGAAACAUAACACACUUAAAACCUAGCAGUCUACUACCAUGAACAACCAAAGUUCGGAGGCAUUUCCUUUAGAAACACAUGGCUCCUGCAUAAUCUCCAUAUAGAGCUUUCUGGUUUACAAAAAAUCUCAACAAGCAUUGGGUGUUGUCCUUACUAGGCAAACUUCACUUUAACUAUACAUCAAUAUUAAAAGGAAAAUUAGUUCAAAUCAGCAACAAAAUGCAUAAAUACGAGUCUUAGUGGGUUGCACAUGUUAUGAAGUUGGAGCCAACAAACAAUAUCUUUUUAUUUUUACUUUACUCUCUUUUUUGUAAUUUACCACUAAAAUAUACUUCAUUUUUUAAACGUUGGGCACAAUUUUUUUAAAAGACUAUUAUAAAUUUUUUUUUUAUUUACAUGUUAUAGAAAAUUAUUAUCUAUUAUGAAUAUUUUGAUUGUUGGUUGACUUUUUUUUUCUUUUAAUUGAGGGAGGAGGGAUUUAAACUCUGCUCUUUAGACAAGGGGAUCAUACACCAACCAAUGAGCCAAAUGUUCGAACGAGUGCUGAUUAUUGAUUAAAUGUAAUAUAUUAAUUUUAAAAAUUUUUAACCCUUAAUCCUCUUCAUCUUUGAUCUUCCACAAAAGUUGAAUAGCGUUGUCCUGCUUGGCUCUACUGUAUACACAACCAACCCUACUAUUGUUGCGAGCAGGUAAAAAAUAUACAAAAGUUUUUGUACAAAAAUAUUGCCUGCAUUACAGUCGGCACUACCCAAAAGAAAAAGAAAAAGCUCACAACCAACUUACAGACAGCUACAAGAAGAAAGAAGAAGCAGCAUAAAUGUUACUUACAGUUUAUUUUUUAACCAUGCUAUAUUUUAUUAAAAUAACCAUGAAAUCAAUUUAUUCAGUAAAUAGAUAAAUACAUAAAUAACUAAAUAAGUAAAUAAAACAUUACUUUAUCAGUUUUAAAUAUGUGAAUAUAUUGUUAUAUUAAUUUCAAUAAAAUAUUAUAAUGAUUUUUACUAAUUUUCAUUAAUUUUAUUAAUUUUGUAAAUAUAAAAUAUUAUUAUAAAAUUAUAUUAUAUACCAAUUUAUAUCUAAUUAUCUUAAUGAUCAUUUUCCAUCUCAUGACACCCAUUAUGCACCAUUGCUUGUUGUCAAAGACAAGUCACAUCGUCGGUUUUAAUCUUAUUGGUGCAACUCCCAAUCUCAUCGUAAUGCUAUCAACCUAACCAUAUCUGUUUCUAUUUUCAUUACUAUCAAUGUUAUUCCUAUCGAUGAAAUUUUUGUUAAGUUUACAAUUUUAGUAAAAAAAUCUUAUUUUCCUUCGCUAAAUAUCAGUAGGAUAUCUAUAUUAGUAAUUUUAUGAAAUCACUACCUUGCCAACAAAAGAUCCUUAUUUACUCAAUUCUUAUCCACCAAUAACGUUUAUUUAUCAUAUAAACUUUUUUUUUGUACAAAAUUACAUGUAAAAGUAAAAUAUUUUUAAUCACAAUCAAGUUCUUAAAUUAUAAUCACAACCAGCCUAAUGAAAUUUAGCUUGCAACAAAUUGAGAAUUAAGAAGAAAGAAGUAAGGAUGGAUAAAUGAAAAAUCUUCAAUGGAGAGAAUCAAAUACAUUAGCAUUUACCCUUUAUACAAUCCAGUAGCUAGAAGCCCCCAUUUUCUUUUAUUUUAAUUUGUUAUCUCUUAAACAAUUCUUUUUAUCAGCACACAACGAGCGAAACACGAUUAAUAGAGUUGAAUCAUAAAAUUCACAGCAAAACAUUUAAAUAUUUGAUUCAAUAAUAUUUAUAUUUUUUCCCGAAUUCAGAUUGCAUUCUCCAAUUAAAAGUAUAGACUUCACAUAGAAGACUAAAAUCAAAUGCAAAAGUACUCAGUGCCCACGGUUGUACAGUCCAGGAUUUUCACCUUUCUUGGGAGGUUUAUUUUGGUUCGGGAGACAGUCAGUGUAACGUAGCCUGUCGCAAAUAACCGGGUUGUUAGGGGCAGAAGUGCCUCCAGUCCCAGUGCCAGAGCUACCAAGCACGCUACCAAUGUGGGAGUCGAACAAGAACUCCAACUCCAAGUUAUUGUGAGCAACAGGGGGGAAGAUGGAACUCCUCCAUUGAAGUAGCGGUUGCUCCAUGUUGGGUUGCAUGAAGAAGAACCAUUAGAGUGAUUAGGAUUCCUAGAGACAAAUCCUUUCCCACUACUCUAAUAACUUCCAUUUUUCUCUCUUUCUUUUUUCCUGCUCAGCCGACUCUUAGUAAAUAGCUACUACUCUCCAUCAAUCCAAGGGAAUUUCCUGUCUUAUUUAUAGAGAAAAAAGAAAAAGUUGAGGUGAACAUUAGAUGUCCAUAUACAAUUUGGAUAACACAUUUGCUGUUUUUUUUUUAAAAACAAUUAUUAUGAAUAGUAACACUUAUUAAUUUCUAAUGCUUUUUAAAAGCAUUUCUUGAGUACUAAAAAUAAAGUUAGUGAUCCCUUUGUUAAUAUUUUUUUUAACUUACCAUUGUUGUAUUCAACAGGGUCCAUAUAUAUUUGGAUUUGAAUGAGAAUCCCAUGUGAAUACACAAAAAUUCAAACCGAAUUAGACCCUGAAAGAACGACUUUCACAUGGUUGCAUGCACAAGUGUCUUUUGCUAAAGCUGACAAAAUCUCAUUCGUAAAUCUGCCUUUCUUCAGCACUGAAAACAAAAUUUAAGUUUUCACAAAAAUGAUGUAUAGACAUUUAAUUUGAGAUGAAAGAAUAUUAAUAGUGACUAUUAGGAGCAAGGAUAUGUUUUCCGCAUAUAAUGAACAUAGCAUAAUCACCUUGGGCACCCAUUUUUCCAUUAGAACCAACUCCUUACAGGUAAAGAGACUUCAUCCACAGGAAUAAGCCCAAUUGCAGUAGAAUGCAUAAUAUGUACUCCCAAAAUCUGUAUAUCAAACAAUAGAAACGAUAGCUGUUUGUUUCAGUCAAUUGAUUGUUCUAUAAAUUAAUCUCUUCAGUCAAAAGAAUUAGAUAAAUGAAUAACUUGUUCUCAAAUGAAUUAGGUAAAGAAUUACGUAAAGAAAGUGAUAGAGGAGGUUGGCUGAUGGACAGUACCAUGGAUUUCCUAUAGACCCUUUGCCAUUCAAGACUCUCGGUAAGGGAUUAUGUGGCUUCCCUUGAAGAAUAAUGAGCCGAAAUUUAACGUGGAUGGAUUUGUUAAAGGUAAAUCAGGCCCAGCUAGAUGGGGAGGAGUCCUCGGACAGCAGUAGAAAUGUCAUUGGCCUUUUAUUUUGGCCCCCUGGGUGAUAUAGACUCGAAUAGUGUGGAGACACUGGCAAUCAAAGACGCCUUACAGUUUUAAGGCUUUCAUUGAAAAAAAUUAGCAGUUAAGUACUCAAGGAUCUGUCGUUUGUCCAAGCUUAGUGACAGCCUUACAAAACCUACAAGAGGAAAAAUUUUUAAUUUCAUUGAACUUGAUAUUGUGUUUUCAAUUCUAUUAUUUUUUGACAAACAAUACAAAAAAUUAACAACAUUAUUUAUUAUUUGUAUUUAUGAAAUAUUUUAUUGAAUAUUUCAAUUUUGUUGAUUUUUAUAAAUUUUAUCAAUUUUUGUUAAAAAAUCAACAAAAUUAAACAUAUAGUAACAAAAUUCAACAUAACCUAAUAUAAUAACAAAUUUGAUCAUACUCCCACAGAAGCACAAGUAAUGAAAUGAAAUUUAUCAUAUAAAUUUUGUUUACCAACAUACAUGUAAAGAUAAAAAUUAUAUUCACAAUCAUGUAUUACAUUUCAUAUAAUUACAAAUUAAUAAAAUAAAUCAAAUAGACAAAUCAACCAACAAACUAGUAUAAAUCAGAUAUAUUCAAUAUAAAAUUGUAUUAUACCUGCUAAUGAUGAGAUUUGAACUUGAAAUAUCAACAGUCUAAUUAAGGUCUCGUAGUUGUCAUUAAGUUAAUGUCUCAUUAUUUCAGCUAAGCAAAGCAAUGAAUAUUUAGUUCUCUAUCAUUCUCCAGUCACAACUUCACCAAUGCGAUAGCCUGUAUAAGCACCAUUUCCAUCCUCAAGUAUUCUAUGAGAUGUGUCCCUGACUCAUAACGAGAACCAUGCCAAUGCCCAUGUUAAAACUCCAUCUCAUCUUAGUAUCUUCAAUUUUUCCAGCCUGUUGGUAUCCAUUAGAACACAGCUGGCAGUUCCCAAGAAUCCUUAUAGAGAGAAGCACCAUGGUCUUUUGGAAACACUCGAGGUAUAUUGUCUGUGAAAGCCACCACCUGUUCUAUGAUAUAUGCUAUUCUCUUUUCCCCUCCUUUGCUAAUUAAAUCUAGCAUCAGCUUAACAUCAGUAAUAAAAAAUUUCAAGACUUCUGAUUACCUUCAGUUUAGGUGUGUGGAUCAUAUUGAUAGGGGUUGCCUCCAUGUGACAAAUCAUUAAUCUAACAAUUUAAACAAUUACAAAAUUAUGAUCGCCACAUCAACCAAAUUCAAAGUUCAACAUAGAUCGAAGGAUGUAAAAUAUAUAAAUAGUAGUAGGAAAACGUACAUAAAAAUUUCUUGACAACUUAGUCUUAAUUUGCAAAUGAUGCGUAACAUGGUACAACCUAAUAAACUAAUCAUCAAUCCAAUAUGAGAAAAGAAGACAUAAGACCAGAUAAUAGAAAACCCGUGACAUAGACUUAGAUUUACCCCAAAUACAAAACUACAAAAAUGAAAAAUUGACUUAGAUUUGGAAGUCAUGUAUUCUGUCCCUCAUGUCCCAAUUCCCCACUCUUUCCCAAAAGUUACUAGGAGAAUGCAACCAAAAAGUGAAGUUGCAAAGCUCAGGGACCACUCCCAGCCUCGAAUUAGGGACAUCGAAAAGUACCCUAUGGUUCUGCUGCUGCAUAUUGGUUAUCAUAUUCAAUACUGAAUUCACAUUAUCUGGCACAGAUGCCAUGGCCAAGCAUGUGAUGCUGCCUACCGUGCUGUGGCAGUGUCACGUUCAUGCCCGCAAAACAUGAAUGUUAUCGUCGGUGCCACGAUAAGGAGGUUGUACUUGAAUUCUUAUCUUUUGGCUUUACUUUCUAAAAAAGCAGCAUUCUCUUUAUCAUAUUCUUUGAAGACUUUUGACUAAGGAUAGCAAAAAGACAAUACAUCUCUCUUUCUUACUAUAGUAAGUUGAUAAUAAGUUUGUACGAUUUCGUUGAAUUUUCUACAUAUUUUAUCAUGACUCUAUGCUUUGCAAAGAGAGUAUUAAUUAAGCCUUAAAAGCAAAGAAAUGAAUAUUUAUUUUCAUUUUCAAAUGCUGGAUUCCAUUGCAUAUUCAGUUCACAAUAACAAUUGCCUUGAAUUCAUUUUCAUUGGCAGGAGUGGGAAGAUUAUGUUCCUGAUCAUGACUGGUAUUGCUAUCUAGAAAAAUAGGUACCAUUGUUUCAUUUCCUUAAUUAGGCACAAGACUCUUUCCACUGCCACAAAACCUAUGAUUAUUACCAGGCGCCAACCGUUUCCAUUGCAAAAUCUUUAAUUAUAUUGAUAGGGGUUGCCUCCAUGCAACAAACAUUAAUCUAACAAUUUAACCAAUAAUAAAAUUAUGAUCACCAGUACAUCAACCAAAUUCAAGGUUCAAUGCCAACCUCGAAUUGUGACGUAGAUUAUGUUAGCAGAUGACAAGUAAAUUUAGUGCUUUUCUUAUGUAGUUAGGAGUCCUAUCAGAAAUUAUAGGUAUAAUAAAAUUUACUUUUUAUUUUAAUUUACUUGGACGAUAAGUAAGCAUAGGUUUAGGAAUUAAGUUUUCUUGCACUUUAAGGAAGUCUAGGGUAUAAUAUUAUUUUAUUUAAAUUUGUUUAUUUGCAUUCCAAGUUUAGGUCAAGUAGGAUUAGGUUAUUAUAAAUAGCACCUUUAGACUUAGUUAUUAGAUAAUUUUUUUUGAAUUAUUAAAUAACAUUAUAUUUUUUCUCAAAUUUUGAGUGUAAGUUUCUAUGUUUGAAACUUGGUUAUCAACUAUAAAGACUCUAUCCAGUGUUAGUCUUUGUUUUCACGUUAACUUACUAUAGCAAAUUGUGCACAUCAAAAAGUACCUUAUGGUUUUAUUGCUAUAUAUUGGCUAUCACAUUUAGCACUGAAUUCACAUUCUCUGUUGCGGAUGCCAUGGCCAAGCAUGGGACGCAGCUUAACAAAGUUUAGUGACUUUUCAAUCACAUAGUAUAUUGGAUGUUGUUUAAGGGAAAAUUUUGAAAUGGAGUUCUUUAAGUAAAGUUCUUUGAAUCUCCAACUUAAAAUAAUUAAAAAUUAAUUAUAGUUUAACCCCAAACUCCCUAACCUCCAACCGACGACAUUUUUUUUUGUUGUUUGUUUUUUUUCUUUUUCUUUGUGGUUGUUCUCGGUUGCUAGAGGAUCUAGGGUAUUUUCUUUGGUUUUUGUUGUGGCUAGGUAUUUUUUGGUUGCUGGUUCUUGCUAGGGAUUUUAGGGUUUUCGAUUGCUUCGUCCCUUUCCUUGUAGCUACAGUGUUCCUUUAUAUAUCGGCUCUCAAUCGGGUGUAUCGUCUCCACUACCUUGCCAGAUGCGAGUUUUUGACGUUUGGCACUGAUGGUGGUGCCUAACAAGGUGCGUCCGCACCCUGCCAGACGUACGUCUUUCUCUUUUUUUUUUCUUUUUUCAUUUUAUUUCAUCAUUUUUUGUUUCAUUUUCAUUUUUCAUUUUUUCAUUCAUUUUUUUAUUUUGUUUUUUUUGUAUCUUAUUUGUUGUUUUUUUUUCUUAUUAUUUAUUUUUUUGUCUGUCUAAGUAAUUACCUAUAAAAUUAAAGUGUCUACAGAAGGGAGCAGGAAAUCUCUUUGUGAGAGAACACAAGCCAUAGAACAAAGAACUCAAAAGACAGAGGAUAUUGGCCAUAUAUGCCUCCCUUAUGAACUGGGCAUAUUUUAGCAAUAACCCCUGAAAUGAAGCCAAUAUCGGGCAUUCAAAAGGAGCUUCCCUGCCUCAAAAGAACAAAAGCAUCACCAAGAAUAGUCCACCCAGUCCUAGUACACUACUAGUUAGUAGCUGAGCAAAAAAAAAAAAAAAAAAAAAAGUACUAGUAGUUAGUAGUAAAACUACUAGUAACGAGUAAUGUCCUCAUUAUUUAAUAUGGUUUAUCAAUUCUUCAACAAUUCAGUUUUAUCGAUUUUUUUAUUUUCUAUUUUUUAUCUUCUAAUAUCAACUUAAAUGUAAAAUUGUGAUGCAUCUUUUGAUGAUUGAGUUAGUGGAUUGUUGAAGACUAUACUUGGAUCAUAUUGAUAGAAAAAAAAAAGUAAAUUUGACUUAAAAUUAAUAUGAAAUAUAGAAAAAAUAAUAAGACUGGUAUAAAUAUUCAAAAAAGAAAAGUUGACAUAAUUUUGUAAUGAUUUUAAAAAAGUGGAUAUUCAAUUUGAAAUAGAAAAAGUAUAUAUUAUUACAUCAAUUAUUAGUUUAAUAAUUUAUUUUCACUCAAUAAGUAGAUAAAAUUUGAAGUCAAGAUGAUAUUUAUAUUGCAUCGAUCAAGAACACUUAUUGUUUGUUACAUAUAUACAUAUGUUUAAUUGAAAUUCUUUUCUACACAUCAUUGAAACAAUAUUUGGCCACUUGCAAUUAAUUUAAAAUUUAGAAAUGUUAUUUAUUUAUUUCUCAGUAUCAUGUCUACCUUAAAUAUGUUAACUCAUCACAAUACUUUUUACAAUCAUACCAAUCAUUUUAAAUUACAUUUCUACACAUUAAUUACAUUUUAAAUUCAACAAUAUGAUGUUAGUCACGUUUCUUGGUUCUUUCCUACUAUCGAUUAUUUGUUGAAUAGUCCAUCCGGAUAUCUUGAAUCUCAUUAUUUUUUUUCGAAAUAAUAAUUAUAAGUAAAAGAAUUUCAAUUACAAUCAACAUGUAUCACAUUCCAUCUGUGAAAAGAAUUAAUAAAUGCACCAACAUAUUAACUUAAAAGUUUUAAUUUUUUUUUUNNNNNNNNNNNNNNNNNNNNNNNNNNNNNNNNNNNNNNNNNNNNNNNNNNNNNNNNNNNNNNNNNNNNNNNNNNNNNNNNNNNNNNNNNNNNNNNNNNNNNNNNNNNNNNNNNNNNNNNNNNNNNNNNNNNNNNNNNNNNNNNNNNNNNNNNNNNNNNNNNNNNNNNNNNNNNNNNNNNNNNNNNNNNNNNNNNNNNNNNNNNNNNNNNNNNNNNNNNNNNNNNNNNNNNNNNNNNNNNNNNNNNNNNNNNNNNNNNNNNNNNNNNNNNNNNNNNNNNNNNNNNNNNNNNNNNNNNNNNNNNNNNNNNNNNNNNNNNNNNNNNNNNNNNNNNNNNNNNNNNNNNNNNNNNNNNNNNNNNNNNNNNNNNNNNNNNNNNNNNNNNNNNNNNNNNNNNNNNNNNNNNNNNNNNNNNNNNNNNNNNNNNNNNNNNNNNNNNNNNNNNNNNNNNNNNNNNNNNNNNNNNNNNNNNNNNNNNNNNNNNNNNNNNNNNNNNNNNNNNNNNNNNNNNNNNNNNNNNNNNNNNNNNNNNNNNNNNNNNNNNNNNNNNNNNNNNNNNNNNNNNNNNNNNNNNNNNNNNNNNNNNNNNNNNNNNNNNNNNNNNNNNNNNNNNNNNNNNNNNNNNNNNNNNNNNNNNNNNNNNNNNNNNNNAAAUAUAAUUAAAAUUAUAAAGACUUAAUUGAUAUUUUUUAUACAUACAAGUAAUAAUGAUAAAUAAAAAUAAUUUUUUUGGAUUUUUUUAUUGUUAUGUAAAUAAAAUUAAUUAUGAUCUUCUAUUUAUGAAUAAUUAAUUUUACACUUUUAAAUAUCUUUAUUUUAUAUGUAAUUAAUAUUUAAAAAUAGAUAAAAAAUAUUCAAAUAAAUAAAAAAGACGAGAUGGGUAAAAAAGCAUGUAGGACCAUUCAAUAAAUUUGGAGAGCAACGUACAGCUACUGCCCUUUACCAACCCCACUUCAACAGUAUGUUGGUCUGAGUUUCUUGGUUGUUUCCUGCGAUCCACACAUCUUGACUUGACGUCAACUCCAAAACAAUAUUCUUUUCUAAUUAAAUUCCAAGUAAAAUUUUAAUUAUAGUCAAAUAAUUUUCACAUAUCACAUAUUACAUCCAUAAAAAUAUUAAUAAGCAAGCCAAUUAAUAAGUAUAAAAUUUUUAGUUUAAUACAUUAUGCAUCUAAAUGUUUAAUUUAAUAGUAAUGCAUGUCUCUGUUAUGAAAGAGCAGAGUUUAAUUUUUUUUUUGGUAUUAUUGAUAUGAAACAAGAUUUAUCUAAUUUGUAAAUAAAAAUUUUAAUUAUGUUGAAUGAUUUUCAUUAAUUUUUUAAUAAAUUUAUAUUAUAAAAUCAGUUAUAUAGAAUUGAAAAGUUAAUUUUCUUCUUAUAUGUAAUUAUUAUUUGAAAAUAAAUAUUCACACGCGAGAAUAAAUAACAACAAGUGUAAAUAUUAUAUUAUUGGAAAGGGUUGAUGGGAAUGCACAAAAAACUUUCCAACCAAAUUAGGCCCAAAGAAAAGCACAACGCUUGACAUGACUUGACUUGCUCAGCUUGUCUAGAAACUGGUAACUCUUCACAACCACAUUAAUUCCCUAUGAUUUUUUCUGUAAUUCGUAUCAUCACCCAACCUCAAAAAUCUAGCAACCGAAUUAGAUCCAGAAACAGUUUCCACAAUCCAUUUUUCUUCUAGUCCAAUAUCCUUCUCUUGGAUUUUCUCUCUACUUCAAGUCUCUUGAUUCCUUUCUCAAACAUAUUGACCAUGGCUUUCGUUGCAGAGGCUGCUCUCUCUGCUUCCUUUGACUUGUUGUUGGCCAAGAUUUCCUCUUCCGACUUCAACUUUGUCACUGAGAAGCGGGUUCGCGAGGAGAUUGAGAACUGGAAAAAGACAUUGGAGAUCAUCCACGCAGUCCUUGCUGAUGCAGAGGAGAAGAAAAUGAAGAACAAGGCUGUGAAGAUUUGGCUGGCUGACCUCCAAGACUUGGCUUAUGACGUCGAUGACAUCUUGGACGAGUUUGCCACUGAAGCUUUGGGGCGUAAGUUGAUGAAAGCACAUCGGGCCAGCACUAGUAAGGCACAAAAAUAUCUUACUAGUUUAAAUCCACGUUCCAUCAUGUUUAACUCUAAGAUGAUGUCCAAGAUCAAAGAGAUUACAGGAAGGUUGGAAGAUUUAGCAACAAGAAAGAUUAACCUGCAACUAGAGAAAUAUGUUGGAAGGCCCAUGACAAUACCAAAAAGCAAGCCAAGCACUUCUCUGGUGAAUGAAGCUACUGUACAAGGCAGAGACAAAGACAAGAAGGCAAUAAUUGAUCUGCUUUUGAGGAAGGAUGGCAAUGAUGCUGGAGUUUCUGUGAUUCCCAUCACCGGCAUGGGAGGGAUAGGCAAGACAACCCUUGCUCAGCUUGUCUACAAUGACAGUAGCAUAGGAGAUUAUUUUGAUCUCAAAGCAUGGGUAUGUGUUUCUAAUGAAUUUGAUGUUAUUAAGAUAACGAAAACAAUUCUAGAAUCGGUCACUUUCCAGUAUUGUGAUAUACAUGACUUGAAUUUACUUCAAGUCAAACUAAAGGAAAAGCUAUCGAGCAAGAAAUUCUUGCUUGUUUUGGAUGAUGUUUGGAAUGAGAAUUAUGAUGAUUGGACAAAGCUUCGAUCUCCUUUUGAUGCCGGGAUUACUGGAAGCAAAAUAAUCGUAACAACACGUAAUUCUAAUGUUUCAUCAAUUAUGAGAACUGUUGCAGACCACUCAUUGCAAAUUUUAUCAGAUAAUGAUUCUCUCUGUAUGCUUGCUCAUCAUGCAUUAGAAAGAGGGGAUUUUACUGGGCAUCUAGACCUGAAAGAGAUCGGCAUGGAGAUUGUGAAGAAAUGUGGUGGCUUGCCUUUGGCCAUUAAAACUAUCGGAGGACUAUUGCGCACUAAGGUGAAUCAUGAUGCAUGGAACUACAUAUUAAAGAGUGAUAUUUGGAAUCUACCUGAAGAGAAAAGUGACAUAACUCCAGCUUUAUGGUUGAGUUACUAUUAUCUUCCUUCGCAAUUAAAGCAGUGUUUUGCAUAUUGCUCUCUAGUCCCUAAAGAUUAUGAAUUUAAAGAGGAGGAAAUAGUCUUGUUAUGGAUGGCAGAAGGUUUUCUAAAUGGAGCAAACACUAAAAGGAAUAUUCAAGAUUUGGGUAGCAAGUAUUUUGAAGAACUAGUAUCAAGGUCAUUUUUUCAAGCAUCUAACAAGAAUGAAUCCCAAUUUGUAAUGCAUGACCUAAUUAAUGAUCUAGCUCAGUUCGUUGCAGGAGAAGUAUAUUUUAAAAGGGAAAGGCAUGAUGAUAUGAACGGUCCAAUUAAUCGCACUCGCCAUUCCUCUUAUAUCAUUGGUAGUUAUGACGGAAUCCAAAAGUUUGAGACCUUUUUUGAAGCAAAGUCUCUACGAACCUACCUGCCCUUUAAGAUGAUGCAGCAAUGGAGAUGCUACUUGAGCAAUAACGUUCUCAAUGAUUUACUGCCGGCAUUAAAAUGCUUAAGGGUGCUCUCUUUGAAAAGGUACUACAUCACAGAAAUUCCUUCUUCUAUUGGAAAUUUGAAGCAUUUACGCUAUCUAAAUUUCUCUUAUACCAAAAUAAAAAGUCUCCCUGAUUCAAUAUGUAGUCUUUAUAAUUUGGAGACUCUUUUGUUGAGGUAUUGUGAGAAUUUUGAAAAACUACCCCUAAAAAUAGGGAUUUUAGACAACUUAUGUCAUCUUGAUAUGACUGAUGCAAAUUUAAUAAAGGAAAUGCCAAGUGGAAUUGGAAAAUUAACAAAUCUUCAAGUGUUGUCUAAUUUUAUUGUGGGUCAAGGUGAUGGAUUGAAUAUAAGAGAGAUGCAGAAUUUGUUAAAUCUCAAAGGUCAGCUUUGUAUUUCUGAAUUGCAUAAUGUGGAUGAAGCUCAACAUGCAUGGGAAGCUAAGCUAUCUAGUAAGUGUGACCUUGAUAACUUAGAGUUGAAGUGGAGUGCAGAUUUCAAUGAAAAUCUUAGAAAGAAAGAAGUUGAGAAAGAAGUGUUGAACUCGCUUCAACCUCAUAAAGAUAUUAAAGAGCUUGCCAUCAAGUAUUAUGGUGGAAUAGAGUUCCCGGAUUGGGUGGAAGAUGAUUCAUUCAUAUAUUUGCAAGUUUUAAGACUUGAAUAUUGUGAAAAUUGCACAUUCUUACCAGGAGUUGGAAAAUUACCACUUUUAAAACAUCUUUAUGUCAAGGGGAUGAGAAGUGUGAUUAGUGUUGGCAAUGAGUUUCAUGGAGUGAAUGGGCCAAAUGUAUUUCCAUCAUUAGAGACCUUGUACUUUGAAGAUAUGCCAGAAUGGAAAGAAUGGAAACUUUAUGAAGUUGACGAACAAGGUAAGCAAUUUUGUUGCCUUCGAGAACUCUUUAUUGAAAAUUGUCCAAAAUUAGAAAAAACUUUGCCUGAUCAGCUUUAUUCUUUGGAGAAACUUGUAAUUCGUAAGUGCCAAGAAUUGGUAGUUUCAGUUUCGAAUCUUCCGAUGCUAUGUGAACUUGAUAUUUAUGGAUGCAAAGAAGUAGUGCUUGGGAGUUAUGAUGAUCUAUGGUCAGUUAAAAAAAUCAGUCUUUCAAACAUUUCAAAGUUUGCAUGUGUAACAAAAGAAAUGAAGAUGGUAGAGUCGAUGAAAGUAGAAGUUCUCGAAAUUAAUAGUUGUGAGGAGCUGACGUCUUUGUGGCAAACAAAGUGGGGGUGGUUGGCGCCUUUGAGAUCUCUUCGUACUUUAAAGUUUGAAAAUUGUACGCAAGUUGUGUGUAUAGGAGGAGGGGCAAAGGAGGAGGCAAAAGAAGAGCUUUUGCAAUUAGAAAUACCGUGCAACAUUGAAUUUGUGAGAUUAGCAUAUUAUCAAGGGUUAGAGAGAUUAUCGAAGACCUUUCACAACCUUACAUGUCUUACACUGUUAUGGAUUGAAAAGUGCCCGAAAUUGGUUUCACUUUCAACGGACAACUUGCCUCCAACUCUUAGGACUUUGAUCAUUUGGAGUUGUGAGAAUUUGGAAUGUUUACUGGAUGACAAGGAGAAUAUCAAUUUCAGUAGCACAUCUCUUCUUCAAUCUCUUGAUAUUAGAGACUGUAAAGCUCUAAAAUCAUUAUCAUGGAGUGGUAAGUUACCCGUGCAACUUAAGAGGUUGCUUAUUUCGGGCUGUCCAGAGCUUGAAUGUUUAGCACGGGAAAUUGGGGAUAAUACUUGUCUUGAAUCUAUUGAACUCUCCAAUUGUGGUAAUAUUACAUAUUUACCCCAAGGACUGGACAAGCUCAGCCGUCUUCAAGAGAUUUCUUUAAGGGGUUGUCUAAAUCUUGUCCGUCUCCCAGAAGCUCUGCCCAACCUCCACCAUCUUCAAGAAUUGAUUAUAGAUGAAUGUCCAAGGGUGCAAAAUUCCAUCGGAGAAAGGGGUUUCCCUACCAACCUAACUUCCCUUUCGAUUAUUGAACCCAAUAUUAGUAAGGCAGUAAUGGAAUGGGGAUUGCAUAGACUCACCUCUCUUACAUAUCUUAACAUUGAUGGUAGUAAUUGCACAGAUGCGACGUCGUUUCCUCAGGAGGAGAUAGGAAUGAAGCUGCCCCCUUCUCUCACCAAUCUUACUCUCAGAAAUUUCAAAAAUGUAAGAAAGCUAUCCUCCAACGGCUUUCAAAACCUCAC
rnacentral:lncRNA from 1 species